CUGAGGACAAUAAUGAGGCACAAAUGAUAUUGGGGUGAAAUGAUAAUUCACUGGGUGUUUUUUGAGUAGAGUUAUUUAAUGAUUCAACUAGUGUAGUAAUUUGCGCGUUACGAUGAGUAAAUACUAUUAAAGUAAAAAUUUAAAAAGAAUAAAAUAUAAUGGUAAAUAGUAAAUAUAGUAUAUAUUAUAGACAAAUAUUUUUAAAAAAAUAAAACUAUAAUAAGAAAAAAUAUAAUCUUUUCAACAAAACUAUUAAACCUUAUUCUACAACACAAUAAUCAAAUGAAAAAAAAAAUGAGAAAAAAAAGUCUCAUUCUUUUCCAAAUUAAGGGAGUAGGUACAUAUAGGAUGUAGUUAUGAGGAUUAAUAUAUAGAUAUAGAUAUAGAUAUAGAUAUAGAUGAUAUAACGGUUUUUCUUGUGUCUUAAUUAUAGUAGUGUUGGAGAAGUUUUGAU
rnacentral:lncRNA from 1 species